UUUGGGUUUCCCUCAAACGGGGAGAGAGUAUUUUUUUUAUUAUAAAUUCAUGAUUAUUCUUUAAAUUAGUCGACGUGGGACUUUCAUUAUCCAACAAAG